rnacentral:lncRNA from 1 species
CCACCGCGCGCGCUCCCGCUAAUUCGCGACCACACCCCUGUCUACUUCCAUGUCCAAUAGGUGCGAGAGGGCGGGACGGCCUCGUUCUGACUCCGGGAGGCUAUAUAAGGAGCUACUGGCUGCGCACUUCGGUCUUUUACGUCGGCCUUCGCGAGCGUCUGGGCGGGUGGUAGGUGAGUGGGUAUUGCGGGCUAGUAUCCGAGCAAAAGAUGGUGGCGCAGGCCGAGUUAAGAGCUUUAAUCCUGUGAAGACAUCUUAGUGAAGAGUUUAGAGUGCUGAGAGUUGAAAGCUUGCACGUGGGAAACGUGCGGCCGGACUGCCACAUGUACUGAGGUUGAGUCGUGACGGCCACAGGCUCCGAGUUUUGGCGUGAGGAACCGCUGAUCGGCCACGGGCGCCGAACUUGCUGGCCUCCGGCAUGUGCCUGAGCGGCGGCGGAAAAACCACCUUAAUUGGGGCGGAGGGUUAGUUUUAACAGCAAAGGGCCUUUACUAAAAUGGCGAAGGCCUUCCGUCGGCGUUGUUUUAAAAUGGGAAGCCUCGACCCUGUAUUGAAACUGAGCUGUUCGAAGGCGGCGUUGUGUGCAAUUCGGAUUAAUGAAGGGGAAGGGUUUUGUGUGGAAAAACGCCUUGGAGUGUGACAUUUCUGCGAGAAUGCUUAAAUACCGAUUUCCCGCAGGAACAAUGGCGCUGUCUUCAGUGGCACAGUGGAGCAGCUCUGAAGAUGCAAAGAUACACGAAAAAACUUCCAGAACAUCUGGGAGAAUAUUUAAUGGAAAAUCGCUUGGUUAAAACCUGACACUUUUAACAGUGAACAGCGUUCUGAGUGUGGACGAGUAGCCAGUGAAGAUAAUGAAUGUCGAAUGUGACUGACUAGCAGCUUCAUUUUGAAUGAGGGUCGCUGUCUGCCCAUUGAUAGAGGCCAGAUUGUCUUGGAAGUUCCAAAGUUGCAACGAUUUCUGGCUAGUGCCACGAGGUUUACUUGACUGUUGUGUGAAAAGCUGAUAAGAAAACCAUCCAGAAAAAAGCUCUUCGUUUUACAAACAUGAAAAUAAAACAUGGUACUGCUUUCUCUUGCUGCAGCUUGCUUCCUCCCUCAGGUAUGAAGUUAAGGUAACAUGAAGGAGGAUAUUGAAUGUUCCUAACACAAAGAAAUGAUAAAUGUUUGAGAUGGUGGAUGUACUAAUUGCCCUGAUCUGAUGACUAUACAUUAUAUAUAUUGAAACAUCAGUAUGUACCCCAUGAAUAUGUACAAUUAUAUGUCAACUUAAACACAUUUAAAAGUAAAAAAAAAAAAAUCCAAAACACGCAAGGAACUGAGCCAGCACGAAUAAGAAUUAGCAAAAUCUUCAAACCUCAAGACCAGACUCACAAGGACUUCAGAUACAGAAAUUUUAAAUAAAAAUUAUAAAAUGAGUAUGUUAAAAUGUUUAAAGAAAUAAAGGAAGGCAUUGGUAUAUGAUACAGAAAUAAAAGACCAUCAAAAAUAAUUUGGAUGACAUGAAAACAAUCAAAUAGACAUUCUGGAAAUAAAACAUAUAUAAUGGACAGGAGUGAAUGUCCCUAGGCUCCUGACCUCUCUGCAUUUGCAAGUAGUCUGAGCCAGAAAACGCUGAAAGACCUCAGAAGCCAAGUGGAAGCCCCACAGUGAAGCCAGGAGGGCCUUCAUUUCAGACUCAGCAGCUGCCCACGGUGGUGGCUGACACACUGCUGUAGCAUGUGUGCUGCCUGAACACUCACUGGCCACCCCCACAGCCCAGAGCACUGGCAUCAUCUGUACUAUCGGCCUAGUUUCCUGAUUGGUGGAAAUGUUGAUGAUUAAGUCUGGAAUUAAUAUGGCUUGUCUGAACUUACGAGUACCACGCAGAGACCAUCAGGAAUGUGUGCACAACUAUGGAAAGCCUUGCUUCUGACCCCAAUCUCUAGCGGCUAGUUGCUGUGGCUCUGGACACUAACGGGCCUGAGAUCUGAACUGGGCUCACACAGAGCAGUGUCCCCAUGGAGGUGGAGCUGAAGAAGGGAGCCACCUUCAGAUCACACUGGAUAAUGCCUACAUGGAAAACUUAUGAUGAGAACUUCCUGUAGCUGGACUACAAGAACAUUUGUAAGGUAGUGGAAAGGGGCAGCAAGAUCUAUAGAUUUAAUAACUUAUUUCUCUGCAGUUGGAGCAGAAAGGUACUGACCUCCUGGUGAUAGCAAUGGAAAAUUAUGGCUCCUUGGGCAGCAAAAAGGGUGUAGACCUUCCUGGUGACUGUGGACCUGCUUGCCAUGUCAGAAAAGGACAUCCAGGAUCUGAAGUUUGGGGUAGAAUGGGAUGUGGAUAUGGUGUUUGCCUCUUUCAUCCAUGUGGCAUCUAAUGUCCAUGAAAUUAGAAAGGCAAUUAUUGCAAACUGGAGCAAGGUGCCCACUUGCCCACCAGAGUUAGGCUCUUACCUUCCCAGAGGAACUGAGACCCACAGCUAUUUUUAUAUAUCUUACAGUUCAGAUCAGAUACAAAUAUGUAAACCUCUACAUUAUUUCUAUGUAGAAAUUAUGAUACUCUUUAAGCCUGUCACAGAUUUUGUUAUUUAAUGCAAAGAAGCACAUAUAUUACUAUGGGACACUUUUGGUUUGUUUAAAUAUUUUGAUAGUUGUAUUUUAAUGUAAAGGGUUUCAUUUGUAAUCUUAUACAGAUGGUCCCCAACUUACAAUGGUUCAACUUAUGAUUUUUCAUCUUUACAACGGCAUGAAAGCAAUACAUUUUCAGUAGAAACUGUAGGUCAAAUACUCAUACAACCAUUCUGUUUUUCACUUUACUGCAGUAUUUAAUAAACAUAUGAGAUAUUCAAGAUUUUA